rnacentral:lncRNA from 1 species
GGGGCUGUGGUCCGCCUGUCCGGCAGUGGAGAGCGGAGACGUGGAGUCCAGGCAACUCCUCGUAAUUUUUUGCAUCUCAAUUUUUUCCCUUGUCUAUUUUCUGCUUAUGAUGAAUUGAUGCGAGCAGUGUGGAGCAGCGUUGGAUUUCUUCUAUUUGCUCCAAGAGACCAAGAACAGGAUUCGUGAAGACAAGAAUUCAGGUGUUCUCUCUCCUUUUAACUGUUCCUUUUUCAAAACUUAAAUCACUAAAGAACUAUUUGAGAUCAACCAUGUCACUAGAUAGAUUGAAUGGCUUGGCCAUGGUGCUUUAUUGAGAAAGAUACGUCGGAUAACAUUGAUCUUGACACUAUUAUUAGUGAUUUUCCAUCCAGAAAUACUCGAAGGUGUCGUUUUUCUUGAGUAUGCCAUUCACUUCUUUUUUGUGUAUUUGUCAGGUGGCUCCUGAUAUUUGCUGAUGCGCGUUUGUGGUUGGACUGGUAGAGUUGGAAUUGUAGCUUCUAUCGAAUUGGAUCAAGAAUUUGAGAACAAUGUCACAUAUAUAUUUAGUUAAGAAUUAAGACAGGACUUCUAGGUUGUUGGAGCGUGUAUCCUAAUAAUCCUAUAAUCAUCUGAUAUAUCCGUGGACCGUGGUGUAUUAAGACCAUAUGUGCUAGUGAAUUUUACUUUUAUAUGAAUUUUCGUUGUACAUGAUAGAUAGGUUUGGAAGGUUUUUUUUGUCUAUUAGAUAGUAGUGUUAAGGGCCCAUUUUCUCAGUUCGCACAAGGGCCUCUCGAAUGUCAGGGCCGGCCCUGC